GAAAUGCGAUAAGUAAUGUGAAUUGCAGAAUUCAGUGAGUAAUCGAAGCUUUGAACGCACCUUGCGCCCCUUGGUAUUCCAUGGGGCAUGCCUGCUCGUGCGUCAUUUGUACCCUCAAGCUAUGCUUGGUGUUGGGCGUCUUGUCCUCUUCUGGAGGACUCGCCUCAAAACAAUUGGCAGCCGGCAUAUUGGUAUCGGAGCGCAGCACAAGUCGCACUUUGUUCCAUGAAUGUUGGCAUCCAUCAAGACCAUUUUUUCACUCUUGACCUCGGAUCAGGUAGGGAUACCCGCCGAACUUAA
rnacentral:misc_RNA from 1 species